rnacentral:rRNA from 1 species
GGGAAUUUUCCGCAAUGGGCGAAAGCCUGACGGAGCAAUCUCGCGUGAGGGAUGACGGCCUAUGGGUUGUAAACCUCUUUUUUCAGGGAGGAACAAAAUGACGUGUACCUGAAGAAUAAGCAUCGGCUAACUCCGUGCCAGCAGCCGCGGUAAGACGGAGGAUGCAAGUGUUAUCCGGAAUCACUGGGCGUAAAGCGUCUGUAGGUGGUUUAAUAAGUCAACUGUUAAAUCUUGAAGCUCAACUUCAAAAUCGCAGUCGAAACUAUUAGACUAGAGUAUAGUAGGGGUAAAGGGAAUUUCCAGUGGAGCGGUGAAACGCGUAGAGAUUGGAAAGAACACCGAUGGCGAAGGCGCUCUGCUGGGCCAUAACUGACGCUCAUGGACGAAAGCCAGGGGAGCGAAAGGGAUUAGAUACCCCUGUAGUCA